GAUGAACGCUGGCGGCGUGCCUAAUACAUGCAAGUCGAGCGAACAGACGAGGAGCUUGCUCCAUGACGUUAGCGGCGGACGGGUGAGUAACACGUGGGUAACCUACCUAUAAGACUGGGAUAACUUCGGGAAACCGGAGCUAAUACCGGAUAAUAUUUCGAACCGCAUGGUUCGAUAGUGAAAGAUGGCUUUGCUAUCACUUAUAGAUGGACCUGCGCCGUAUUAGCUAGUUGGUAAGGUAACGGCUUACCAAGGCAACGAGACGUAGCCGACCUGAGAGGGGGAUCGGCCACACUGAACUGAGACACGGUCCAGACUCCUACGGGAGGCAGCAGUAGGGAAUCUUCCGCAAUGGGCGAAAGCCUGACGGAGCAACGCCGCGUGAGUGAUGAAGGUCUUCGGAUCGUAAAGCUCUGUUAUUAGGGAAGAACAAACGUGUAAGUAACUGUGCACGUCUUGACGGUACCUAAUCAGAAAGCCACGGCUAACUACGUG
rnacentral:rRNA from 1 species